rnacentral:rRNA from 1 species
UACGGGGGGAGCAAGCGUUGUUCGGAUUCAUUGGGCGUAAAGGGUGCGUAGGCGGCGCGGUAAGUCGGGUGUGAAAUCUCGGAGCUUAACUCCGAAACUGCAUUCGAUACUGCCGUGCUUGAGGACUGGAGAGGAGACUGGAAUUUACGGUGUAGCGGUGAAAUGCGUAGAUAUCGUAAGGAAGACCAGUGGCGAAGGCGGGUCUCUGGACAGUUCCUGACGCUGAGGCACGAAGGCCAGGGGAGCAAACGAG